GGAGCUUGCUCUUAAAGUUUAGUGGCAAACGGGUGAGUAAUAUAAAGGAAUCUACCUAGCAGUACGGAAUAACUUUGGGAAACCAACGCUAAUACCGUAUAUUACCCCUUCGGGGGGAAAGAUUUAUCGCUGUUAGAGGAGCCUUUAUCGGAUUAGUUUGUUGGUGGGGUAAUGGCCUACCAAGGCGAUGAUCCGUAGCUGGUCUGAGAGGAUGAUCAGCCACACUGGAACUUAGACACGGUCCAGACUCC
rnacentral:rRNA from 1 species